rnacentral:rRNA from 1 species
GACGAACGCUGGCGGCGUGCCUAACACAUGCAAGUCAAAGGGAAGCAACUUCGGUUGUAAGUACUUGGCGCAAGGGUGAGUAAUGUAUAGGUAAUCUGCCCUUUGGACUGGGAUAACCCCGAGAAAUCGGGGACAAUACCAGAUGAAGCAGCGACAAUCGCAUGGUUGUUCUGCCAAAGAUUUAUCGCCAAAGGAUGAACCUAUAUCCCAUCAGGUAGUUGGCAGGGUUAAAGCCUACCAAGCCUACGACGGGUAGCUGGUCUGAGAGGAUGAUCAGCCACAUUGGAACUGAGACACGGUCCAGACUCCUACGGGAGGCAG